rnacentral:rRNA from 3 species
UACCCGCUGAAUUUAA